rnacentral:tRNA from 1 species
ACCUGGUUGGCUCAAUCGGUAGAGCAUGUGACUCUUGAUCACAGAGUUGUAGUUUGUACACUCCACAGUGGGUG